rnacentral:rRNA from 1 species
UACAGAGGGGGCAAGCGUUGUUCGGAAUUACUGGGCGUAAAGGGCGCGUAGGCGGCCCGCUAAGUCGGACGUGAAAUCCCCGGGCUCAACCCGGGAACUGCGUCCGAUACUGGCGGGCUUGAAUCCGGGAGAGGGAUGCGGAAUUCCAGGUGUAGCGGUGAAAUGCGUAGAUAUCUGGAGGAACACCGGUGGCGAAGGCGGCAUCCUGGACCGGCAUUGACGCUGAGGCGCGAAAGCCAGGGGAGCAAACGGG